GACGAACGCUGGCGGCGUGCUUAACACAUGCAAGUCGAACGAAGAGCGAUGGAAGCUUGCUUCUAUCAAUCUUAGUGGCGAACGGGUGAGUAACGCGUAAUCAACCUGCCCUUCAGAGGGGGACAACAGUUGGAAACGACUGCUCAUACCGCAUACGAUCCAAUCUCGGCAUCGGGACUGGAUGAAAGGUGGCCUCUAUUUAUAAGCUCUCACUGAAGGAGGGGAUUGCGUCUGAUUAGCUAGUUGGAGGGGUAACGGCCCACCAAGGCGAUGAUCAGUAGCCGGGCUGAGAGGAUGAACGGCCACAUUGGGACUGAGACACGGCCCAGACUCCUACGGGAGGCAGCAGUGGGGAAUCUUCCGCAAUGGACGAAAGUCUGACGGAGCAACGCCGCGUGAGGGAUGACGGCCUUCGGGUUGGAAAGCUCUGUUAAUCGGGACGAAUGGUUCUUGUGCGAAUAGUGCGAGGAUUUGACGGUACCGGAAGAGAAAGCCACGGCUAACUACGUG
rnacentral:rRNA from 1 species